rnacentral:rRNA from 1 species
UAUCCAUUGGAGGGCAAGUCUGGUGCCAGCAGCUGCGGUAAUACCAGCUCCAAUAGCGUAUAUUAAAGUUGUUGCAGUUAAAAAGCUCGUAGUUGGACUUGUGUGCGCUGUCCGCGGGUGGCCUGCGCCCAAAAGGGCGUUUCGGUUCGGCCCCGGUGGCGCCUUGAAAUCUGCAGCUGGGGGGACGUUGGCCUUAACUGGUCGGCGUCCGCACGCCGGCUGCUCGGUUACUGUGAGAAAAUUAGAGUGUUCAAGGCAGGCAUUGGGUGCAAUUGAAUACAUUAGCAUGGAAUAAUAAAAUAUGGCUCCUGCCGUAUUUUGUUGGUUUUGACUGGUGGGAGUAAUGAUUGAUAGGGACGGUUGGGGGUGCUAGUAUUGAGCGGCCAGAGGUGAAAUUCAUGGAUUCGCUCAAGACUAACUUAUGCGAAAGCAUUCACCAAGGACGUCCUCUUUAAUCAAGAACGAAAGUUGGGGGAUCGAAGACGAUCAGAUACCGUCGUAGUCUCAACCAUAAACUAUGUCGACUUGGGAUCGGCGGUAGUUUUUUCAUUAAGACACUGUCGGGACCACAGGAGAAAUCAAAGUGUCUGGACUCUGGGGGAAGUAUGGUCGCAAGGCUGAAACUUGAAGGAAUUGACGGAAGGGCACCACCAGGAGUGGAGCCUGCGGCUUAAUUUGACCCAACACGGGGAAACUUACCAGGUCCAGAGAUGUAGAGGAUUGACAGAUUGAAGCUCUUUCUUGAUCACUUCGGUGGUGGUGCAUGGCCGUUCUUAGUUGGUGGAGUGAUUUGUCUGGUUAAUUCCGUUAACGAACGAGACCUCAGCCUGCUAGUGUAGUCGGCUGGAUUGCCUUUGGCGAUCCGUGAUUUCGACUUCUUAGAGGGACAAUCGACGCGCAGUCGAUGGAAGUUUGAGGCAAUAACAGGUCUGUGAUGCCCUUAGAUGUUCUGGGCCGCACGCGCGCUACACUGCUGGGCUCAGCGAGUUUUACUUGGCCGAGAGGCCCGGUUAAUCUUGUGAAAUCCCAGCGUGCUUGGGCUCGCCUCCUGCAACUGGAGGCGCCAACGAGGAAUUCCUAGUAGACGCAGGUCAUCAACCUGCAUCGAUUACGUCCCUGCCCUUUGUACACACCGCCCGUCGUUCCAUAAGAGUGAGGCAUCCGGUGAAUUCUCGGGAGAGCCUGGGCGUGGCCAGCAAUGGUCUGCUCGGGUUUGAACUUGCAUAAACUUGGUGCCUAUGAUUAGGG